rnacentral:rRNA from 1 species
GUGGGGAAUUUUGGACAAUGGGCGCAAGCCUGAUCCAGCAAUGCCGCGUGCAGGAAGAAGGCCUUCGGGUUGUAAACUGCUUUUGUACGGAACGAAACGGUCCGGGUUAAUACCCUGGGCUAAUGACGGUACCGUAAGAAUAAGCACCGGCUAACUACGUGCCAGCAGCCGCGGUAAUACGUAGGGUGCAAGCGUUAAUCGGAAUUACUGGGCGUAAAGCGUGCGCAGGCGGUUUUGUAAGACAGGCGUGAAAUCCCCGGGCUCAACCUGGGAAUUGCGCUUGUGACUGCAAGGCUGGAGUGCGGCAGAGGGGGAUGGAAUUCCGCGUGUAGCAGUGAAAUGCGUAGAUAUGUGGAGGAACACCGAUGGCGAAGGCAAUCCCCUGGGCCUGCACUGACGCUCAUGCACGAAAGCGUGGGGAGCAAACAGGAUUAGAUACCCCGGUAGUCC